AACGAUUAGGAUGCGCAGAGGCAGUCCUUUCCUUUCCUCUUUAAAUCUUGCCUAAAGAGAGGAACACGCUCAUUCAUCCUGUGGGAUUCUCCCAUGGCUGCAAUACUCAGCUCCUAUGUUGUCCCUGGCGAUUGUAGAGAGGCUUGUUUUAGUUCCCUAGGGUACGAGUGGCUUGCAGAGAGGACAGACUGGACUGUCGCCUGCUCGAGAUCCCAGGUGCACGCGGAUGACCAUCUCCAUGCCCUAUGUCUGUAGGCCUCGAAGGGAGCUUCUAGGGAUGUCUUUGCGAAGGUCUGGCCUGGCGGAUCGAGCUAUGUAUGGGCCACGAUCAUGUGCCGUCUGUGGGCAAAGCAGGCCUGUAAAGGACUGGCCUUUGGGUCAAUGACACUCUCGGGGCCGGUCGGUACAGUUCAUAGUCCAUCCAUCAUGAUAAUUUCAUGCGGCGUUCAUGAAAUGAUGAAUCAAGUAAUAUCAAAGCUUAUCUGAGCAACCUAAUAGAGCAUCUAAACGAAGGAUAUAAACCCUUAUAUGGGCAACAUCGAUGAAAUCCUCCUAAGAUUGCUGCGGUAAAAUGGCAGUCAUGGGCAACCAUCUUCCCAUUUGCUACAAAAAUCAAACGCUUUCAUCGAUCGUGCCUAGGUGAGACAAAGGUUUUAUAUGUCUUUUGAUGCUGUCAUAUUUGGACACGAAGUCUAAAAAGUCAAAC
rnacentral:lncRNA from 1 species